GAUGAACGCUGGCGGCGUGCCUAAUACAUGCAAGUCGAGCGAACGGACGAGAAGCUUGCUUCUCUGAUGUUAGCGGCGGACGGGUGAGUAACACGUGGAUACCUACCUAUAAGACUGGGAUAACUUCGGGAAACCGGAGCUAAUACCGGAUAAUAUUUUGAACCGCAUGGUUCAAAAGUGAAAGACGGUCUUGCUGUCACUUAUAGAUGGAUCCGCGCUGCAUUAGCUAGUUGGUAAGGUAACGGCUUACCAAGGCAACGAUGCAUAGCCGACCUGAGAGGGUGAUCGGCCACACUGGAACUGAGACACGGUCCAGACUCCUACGGGAGGCAGCAGUAGGGAAUCUUCCGCAAUGGGCGAAAGCCUGACGGAGCAACGCCGCGUGAGUGAUGAAGGUCUUCGGAUCGUAAAACUCUGUUAUUAGGGAAGAACAUAUGUGUAAGUAACUGUGCACAUCUUGACGGUACCUAAUCAGAAAGCCACGGCUAACUACGUG
rnacentral:rRNA from 1 species